CAUUUUUACAUAUAGAAGACUAGAGGAAAAUAAAAUUUUGAAAUUUUUUUGAAACGGAAACGCGAUGAUGAAUCCCAAGGUCCUGUUCGUGCUUGCUCUGCUUCUUAAUCUCGUGGCCAAUUCGUUCCAAAAACCUAACCCUAAAACGCCAAAAUCAACGCUUUCGCGGGCUCACGUGGAGCUCGUCAGCUACGGUUUACCCUCCGGUCUUCUUCCCGCCACCACCGUCCUGGGAUACGCCGUGAACCGGACCACCGGGGAGUUUACCGUCAAGCUCGGUGGCGCGUGCAAAAUCACGCUCCCGCCGGACAACUACGUUGCCACCUACUCCGACACCAUCUCCGGAAAAAUCGUGCAGGGGAAAAUCGCGGAACUUGACGGAAUUAGGGUUCGAGCGCUCUUCAAGUGGUGGUCGAUCACCGGAAUCCGCUCCUCCGGCGACGAUAUCGUCUUCGAGGUCGGCAUGGUCACGGCGAAGUAUCCAUCGAAGAAUUUCGAUGAUAGCCCCGCGUGCGAGGGUCAACACUCUUCUUCAUGAAAAGAUGUCAGGUUUUCGUGUCACGAAAUCUCGUUGUUAUAUCUUCUUUUUAGGUGCAUUGAUGAAACAGGGUAUUCGCUGCUUAUUCUGAGUCUUGGUGUGUUAUGUCAUGAGAUAGCAUAGCAUCCAUAUGUGUCCACUAAGUGCAGAUAAUUUAAAGUCACUCCUGUUAUGUGUAAUAUUUUACAAGGCUUGUAAUACUUUUUACAUAGUCGUAUUUAUGCUGCCACGAAUCUACUUUAAUUUCACUUGAUGGUCACAAUACUCCUUGGACUCCUGAAUAAGGCCACUUUCUACGCUUCAUGUUCAA